ACUGUUGAUGAGGAAUAGGUAGUAGUGUAUUGAUCAUUUUUCUCUGUAUGUUUCUCUUUGAUUUUCUCCAGGUGUCAACACUUGGUCCGGCACAUAGUCCAUGAUCACAGAGAUGUCGUCCACGAUCGCUGAGACAUGGUCCAUGAUCGGAGAGACAUUGUUGAGGAUGAGGGAGACAUUGUCCACGAUCAGAGACACUGUCCAUGAUCGCAGAGACCUUGUCAAAGAUGAGAGAGACGUUGUCCAUGAUCAGAGACGUUGUCCCAUGCUUCGUAGAGACCUUGCGAUAGAAUCGGCGGAGACGGGGGUCACCGAUUUGACGGCAUUGCCCGCGAUCAUGGAGACAUUGUCGAUGAUCACAGAGGCACCGUCUAUGAUCUCAGAGACAUCGUCCACGAUCACAAUCAUUGUCCAUGAUCACAGAGACUUUGUCCAUAAUCUCAGAGACAUUGUCCGCAAUCACAGAGACCUAGUCCACGAUCACAGAGUCUUCGUACAAUGAAGAAGUUCUUUGAGACCAGGACAGAGGCUUCCAGGUGUCAACACUUGGUCCGGCACAUAGUCCAUGAUCACAGAGAUGUCGUCCACGAUCGCUGAGACAUGGUCCAUGAUCGGAGAGACAUUGUUGAGGAUGAGGGAGACAUUGUCCACGAUCAGAGACACUGUCCAUGAUCGCAGAGACCUUGUCAAAGAUGAGAGAGACGUUGUCCAUGAUCAGAGACGUUGUCCCAUGCUUCGUAGAGACCUUGCGAUAGAAUCGGCGGAGACGGGGGUCACCGAUUUGACGGCAUUGCCCGCGAUCAUGGAGACAUUGUCGAUGAUCACAGAGGCACCGUCUAUGAUCUCAGAGACAUCGUCCACGAUCACAAUCAUUGUCCAUGAUCACAGAGACUUUGUCCAUAAUCUCAGAGACAUUGUCCGCAAUCACAGAGACCUAGUCCACGAUCACAGAGUCUUCGUACAAUGAAGAAGUUCUUUGAGACCAGGACAGAGGCUUCCAGGUGUCAACACUUGGUCCGGCACAUAGUCCAUGAUCACAGAGAUGUCGUCCAUGAUCGCUGAGACAUGGUCCAUGAUCGGAGAGACAUUGUUGAGGAUGAGGGAGACAUUGUCCACGAUCAGAGACACUGUCCAUGAUCGCAGAGACCUUGUCAAAGAUGAGAGAGACGUUGUCCAUGAUCAGAGACGUUGUCCCAUGCUUCGUAGAGACCUUGCGAUAGAAUCGGCGGAGACGGGGGUCACCGAUUUGACGGCAUUGCCCGCGAUCAUGGAGACAUUGUCGAUGAUCACAGAGGCACCGUCUAUGAUCUCAGAGACAUCGUCCACGAUCACAAUCAUUGUCCAUGAUCACAGAGACUUUGUCCAUAAUCUCAGAGACAUUGUCCGCAAUCACAGAGACGUAGUCCACGAUC